GACGAACGCUGGCGGCGUGCCUAAUACAUGCAAGUAGAACGCUGAAGGAGGAGCUUGCUUCUCUGGAUGAGUUGCGAACGGGUGAGUAACGCGUAGGUAACCUGCCUGGUAGCGGGGGAUAACUAUUGGAAACGAUAGCUAAUACCGCAUAAUAUUGACUAUUGCAUGAUAGUCAGUUGAAAGGUGCAACUGCACCACUACCAGAUGGACCUGCGUUGUUUUAGCUAGUUGGUGGGGUAACGGCUCACCAAGGCGACGAUACAUAGCCGACCUGGGAGGGUGGUCGGCCACCCUUGGACUGAGACACGGCCCAGACUCCUACGGGAGGCAGCAGUAGGGAAUCUUCGGCAAUGGACGGAAGUCUGACCGAGCAACGCCGCGUGAGUGAAGAAGGUUUUCGGAUCGUAAAGCUCUGUUGUAAGAGAAGAACGAGUGUGAGAGUGGAAAGCUCACACUGUGACAGUAUCUUACCAGAAAGGGACGGCUAACUACGUG
rnacentral:rRNA from 1 species